CAGUUGCCGGGGGGGUUAACAGUUCAAGCUGAGCGGGGGAGAUUGCCUCGGUACUUGACCGAGCGGCGGAGGGGAGGGGAGGUAGGAACUGCCUUAAUGGGGGACAACAACACGAAAGGGAUGCUAAUACCGCAUACGCCCUACGGGGGAAAGCAGGGGAUCACUUGUGACCUUGCGUUAAUAGAUGAGCCUAAGUCGGAUUAGCUAGUUGGUGGGGUAAAGGCCUACCAAGGCGACGAUCUGUAGCGGGUCUGAGAGGAUGAUCCGCCACACUGGGACUGAGACACGGCCCAGACUCCUACGGGAGGCAGCAGUGGGGAAUAUUGGACAAUGGGGGGAACCCUGAUCCAGCCAUGCCGCGUGUGUGAAGAAGGCCUUAUGGUUGUAAAGCACUUUAAGCGAGGAGGAGGCUCUUUUGGUUAAUACCCAAGAUGAGUGGACGUUACUCGCAGAAUAAGCACCGGCUAACUCUGUGCCAGCAGCCGCGGUAAUACAGAGGGUGCGAGCGUUAAUCGGAUUUACUGGGCGUAAAGCGUGCGUAGGCGGCUUUUUAAGUCGGAUGUGAAAUCCCCGAGCUUAACUUGGGAAUUGCAUUCGAUACUGGGAAGCUAGAGUAUGGGAGAGGAUGGUAGAAUUCCAGGUGUAGCGGUGAAAUGCGUAGAGAUCUGGAGGAAUACCGAUGGCGAAGGCAGCCAUCUGGCCUAAUACUGACGCUGAGUACGAAAGCAUGGGGAGCAAACAGGAUUAGAUACCCUGGUAGUCCAUGCCGUAAACGAUGUCUACUAGCCGGUUGGGGCCUUUGAGGCUUUAGUGGCCGCAGCUACGCGAAUAAGUAAAACCGCCCUGGGGAAGACCG
rnacentral:rRNA from 1 species